rnacentral:snRNA from 1 species
AGCUUUGCACAGUAGCAGUAUCAUAGCCAAUGAGGUUUAUCCGAGGUUCGAUUAUUGCUAAUGGAAAACUUUACCCAAUACCCCACCACGACGACUUGAAAUAUAGUCGGCAUUGGCAAUUUUUGGCAGUCUCUACAGGGA